rnacentral:pre_miRNA from 1 species
UCUUCUGGAUGAGCAAAGAAAGUGGUUUCUUGAGAUGGAUUCUACUCCUGGUGAGGAUGCAGUGAA